rnacentral:rRNA from 1 species
CAUUCACGGAGAGUUUGAUCCUGGCUCAGGACGAACGCUGGCGGCGUGCUUAACACAUGCAAGUCGAACGAUGAAGCCACUUCGGUGGUGGAUUAGUGGCGAACGGGUGAGUAACACGUGGGCAAUCUGCCCUUCACUCUGGGACAAGCCCUGGAAACGGGGUCUAAUACCGGAUAACACUCUGUCCCGCAUGGGACGGGGUUGAA